AGUUUGAUUAUGGCUCAGGAUGAACGCUAGCGGCAGGCUUAACACAUGCAAGUCGAGGGGCAUCGGGAGUAGCAAUACUUGCCGGCGACCGGCGCAAGGGUGCGUAACGCGUGAGCAACAUGCCCGUAUCAGGGGGAUAAUCCAUGGAAACGUGGUCUAAUACCCCAUAGUAAUUAUGUAAGGCAUCUUAUAUAAUUUAAAGCUUUGGUGGAUACGGACUGGCUCGCGUGACAUUAGCUAGAUGGUAAGGUAACGGCUUACCAUGGCUACGAUGUCUAGGGGUUCUGAGAGGAAGGUCCCCCACACUGGAACUGAGACACGGUCCAGACUCCUACGGGAGGCAGCAGUGAGGAAUAUUGGACAAUGGAUGGAAAUCUGAUCCAGCCAUGCCGCGUGCAGGAAGACGGCCCUAUGGGUUGUAAACUGCUUUUGUAUGGGAGCAAUAAGGGCUACGCGUAGUCCGAUGAGAGUACCAUACGAAUAAGCACCGGCUAACUCCGUGCCAGCCGCCGC
rnacentral:rRNA from 1 species